UACGUAGGGGGCUAGCGUUAUCCGGAAUUACUAGGCGUAAAGGGCAGGCAGGCGGAUCCAUAAGUUUAUCGUUUAAGGCGUCGGCUUAACCGGCGUAGGGCGGUAGAUACUGUGGAUCUGGAAUGCGGUUGGGGAAGACAGAAUUCCUGGUGUAGCGGUGGAAUGCGCAGAGAUCAGGAGGAAUACCGAAGGCGAAGGCAGUCUUCCAAGCCGUUAUUGACGCUCAACUGCGAAGGUGUGGGUAUCAAACAGGAUUAGAUACCCCGGUAGUCCCUGAG
rnacentral:rRNA from 1 species